UUUUUUUUUUUUUUUUUUUUUUUUUUUUUUUUUUUUUUUUUUUUUUUUUUUUUUUUUUUUUUUUUUUUUUUUUUUUUUUUUUUUUUUUUUUUUUUUUUUUUUUUUUUUUUUUUUUUUUUUUUUUUUUUUUUUUUUUUUUUUUUUUUUUUUUUUUUUUUUUUUUUUUUUUUUUUUUUUUUUUUUUUUUUUUUUUUUUUUUUUUUUUUUUUUUUUUUUUUUUUUUUUUUUUUUUUUUUUUUUUUUUUUUUUUUUUUUUUUUUUUUUUUUUUUUUUUUUUUUUUUUUUUUUUUUUUUUUUUUUUUUUUUUU
rnacentral:misc_RNA from 1 species